AUUUACGUGUUCAAUUUGCACAGAUGGGUUAUUUUCAGUUUAAUAGAUUGAUUUUGUUUAAUCUACCCUGUGGUUUCUCCUCUGCUAUCCCUUUUGGGGUUCCAUCAGUUCCUGCAGAGCAGAUCUUUCUGUUCAACGCUCAAAUCUAUGCCUCGUGCUCCUCCUGAAAAGGUUUGGCUCUGUUCUUGGUUGGGUUUUUCCAAUUUAUGUUCUUCGUUGUGGUUUGCAUGUUGUUUGGUUUGGCUAUUAUGGCUGCAAUUUUUUUUAGGAUUGUUGGUUGUCGAUCGAAGGUUCUGCUGGUUUUUUGUGUUUAUUUUUCUCUAAAGAAUAACUUUUUGGGCCUCUCUUUGUUAUUGAGGAGACUCACGGCAUGCGAUCUGAUCUGAACAUCGACGAUAAUGAAGAAAGGUGUGGGUUAUUAGAAACAUAAAGGUUUUGAAGUUUUUAGUACCAAUCAAUACCUGAUUGCUCCUACAUUAGAGGAUAUUAAUCGAGCUAUACUCAAGAGCCUUGCCUCACACAACUCAUCAAGUUUCAUCUUCAACCCACCUAUACUAGAAGCAGCUACACUGCCGGCAUGGUGUGUAGUCAAUGCAGGCAAAAUGAAACUCAAAAAAUUGCCAAUCUCCCUACAUCAGAGGCUGGAAUGUUGUGUUAUCGUGUAUUGAAGUACGAUGUCGAGAUCGACCACUCUGUAAGGAAGCUUCUCUAUUCCUUUGGUUGUUUUAUUUUAUUUAAAUUAUCUCUGGCAACACAUGUUGUGAAUCUAUAUGCAGUUUUUUCACUGAGCUGUGUCACCUUUGCAUUUUAAAAAAAUCAAUAUAUUUUAAGGGGUUGUGUUUGUCUUGCAGCCAGAAAAGUAUGGCAUGAAUGCUCGCAACAUUACGUUUUGAAAUUGUAAAUUUCUGUGGGUUGAUACUUUUCUUUCAAUUGUAGCAUUUUUUGAUCGAUAAAAGUGCUAACAGUACUUUUUCCAGUAUACUUGAGUUUAUAGUUCACUUGGCCCACUGUCAUAAGAUGUUCAUCAAGCACUCCGACACCUUCACGCACACAAAACCUGUAGCAAUGAAAAUCUUUGUUUUAAGUUUUA